rnacentral:rRNA from 1 species
UACGUAGGGUGCAAGCGUUAAUCGGAAUUACUGGGCGUAAAGCGUGCGCAGGCGGUUUGGUAAGACAGAUGUGAAAUCCCCGGGCUUAACCUGGGAAUGGCAUUUGUGACUGCCCGGCUAGAGUGUGUCAGAGGGAGGUAGAAUUCCACGUGUAGCAGUGAAAUGCGUAGAUAUGUGGAGGAAUACCGAUGGCGAAGGCAGCCUCCUGGGAUAACACUGACGCUCAUGCACGAAAGCGUGGGGAGCAAACAGG